rnacentral:rRNA from 1 species
AACGAGAGCGACCGGUGCUUGCACUGGUCAAUCUAGUGGCGAACGGGUGAGUAACACGUGGGUAACCUGCCCAUCAGAGGGGGAUAACAUCCGGAAACGGAUGCUAAAACCGCAUAGGUCUUCGAACCGCAUGGUUUGAAGAGGAAAAGAGGCGCAAGCUCCUGCUGAUGGAUGGACCCGCGGUGCACUAGCUAGUUGGUGAGGUAACGGCUCACCAAGGCCGUGAUGCAUAGCCGACCUGAGAGGGUGAUCGGCCACAUUGGGACUGAGACACGGCCCAAACUCCUACGGGAGGCAGCAGUAGGGAAUCUUCCGCAAUGGACGCAAGUCUGACGGAGCAACGCCGCGUGAGUGAAGAAGGUUUUCGGAUCGUAAAACUCUGUUGUUAGAGAAGAACAAGUGCUAGAGUAACUGUUAGCGCCUUGACGGUAUCUAACCAGAAAGCCACGGCUAACUACGUGCCAGCAGCCGCGGUAAUACGUAGGUGGCAAGCGUUGUCCGGAUUUAUUGGGCGUAAGGCGAGCGCAGGCGGUUCCUUAAGUCUGAUGUGAAAGCCCCCGGCUCAACCGGGGAGGGUCAUUGGAAACUGGGGAACUUGAGUGCAGAAGAGGAGAGUGGAAUUCCAUGUGUAGCGGUGAAAUGCGUAGAUAUAUGGAGGAACACCAGUGGC